ensembl:misc_RNA Metazoa_SRP Metazoan signal recognition particle RNA
GCUGGGCAUGGUGGCAUGUGCCUGUAGUCUCAGCUACUCGGGAGGCUGAGGCUGGAGGAUUGCUUGAGUCCAGGAGUCCUGGGCUGUAGUGCGCUAUGCCAAUUAGGUGUCCACACUAAGUUUGGCAUCAAUAUGGUGACUUCCCAGGAGCAGGGGACCACCAGGUUGCCUAAGGAGGGAUGAACCGGCCCAGGUCGGAAAUGGAGCAGGUCAAAACUCCCAUGGUUAUCAGUAGUGGGAUCGCACCUGUGAAUGGCCACUGCACUUCAGACUCCAUCUCCCAAAUAAGAGA